AUUGAACGCUGGCGGCAUGCUUUACACAUGCAAGUCGAACGGUAACAGGCCUUCGGGUGCUGACGAGUGGCGGACGGGUGCGUAAUGCAGCGGAACGUAUCCAGCGUGGGGGGUAAACGCAGCGAAAGCUGUGCUAAUACCGCAUGUGCUCUGAGGAUGAAAGCGGGGGACCGAGCAGCAAUGUUUGGCCUCGCGCCUUAGGAUCGGCCUGUGUCGGAUUAGCUAGUUGGUGGGGUAAAGGCCCACCAAGGCGACGAUCCGUAGCUGGUCUGAGAGGACGACCAGACACACUGGGACUGAGACACGGCACAGACUCCUACGGGAGGCAGCAGUGGGGAAUGUUGGACAAGGGGCGCAGGCCUGAUCCAGCACUGCCGCGUGGGGGAAGAAGGCCUUCGGGUUGUAAACCGCUUUUGGCAGGAACGAAACGGUGUCCGCUAAUACCGGGCGCUAAUGACGGUACCUGAAGAAUAAGCACCGGCUAACUACGUG
rnacentral:rRNA from 1 species